CAACGAAGCAACAAGGGUUUUCUUCGAAACACUAGCGCCGUCAGGAGGCGGUUGCCUCUCUCUUCCGCCAUCCAUGCCUUUUUCAGCAAAAAACCAGGUGUACAACACCUUUUGUAGUCUCAGUACAGCCAGGAGAGGCAAACAUUAUACAAACACGGUAUAUCUCGCCUCCUUUUCUGUUUUUUUUCUGAGGAAUUUAGGGCCAACGAGUACAAAUCCCUUAAUGGGAUUUGGCCCAAACGAUUCUGAACUCUUGGUUCCUAUUGGUUGAUCAAAACCUACGAGAUUCACCAAGAACCCUUCAAAUCUGACCCUUCAUUUAGUUUUUGUUUAAAUCGUGACCAUCGAGUGUUGAUAGGAUGGAAUUAUUCCCAGAAUUUAUUUAGUCCCACAUCGACUGAGUUGAGGUUUCAUCUAAAUUUGGGGUUCUACAUAAAGAACCCCCAAUUCACAGCACACACAGGGACAAGCCUCGUAUUCACUGAGCAAAAAACUCAAUUUAACUAGGGUUAGCUAAAAUUGCUUAAAACCUUAACCUAAUCGAGUCUUUAGUCUAAAAUUUUAUUCUUUCUUUCUUGGCUGAGUUUUUCUGGUGUUGGGAAGCAAAGGAGCAUCCCAGUUCCAUUUUAGCAUAACUCUAUGUUAAUUAGUUAUUAGCCUGCUUGCAGUCGUUCAUAUAUGUUGGUUAGUUUAGUCAUGUGUGUAGUUUAGUCCAGUUGUUCGUAUGUUAAGUUAUUUUAUAAUCUUCUGUUGUUUAGUGGAAAAUAAUGUUUAAGUGCUUAUAUGUUAUUUUUCUGUCAUCAUUUAAGUUUAGUUUCGCUUAGUUAAUAGCAUUCUUAGCUUCUUCUUUUUUCUUUUGUUUAAAUUCUAGUUAAUUCAAAAGUUAUAAGUAGGAUAGCUUUGUAGUUCAUUUCUGUUUCUUGUUCUUGCUUAAGCAUGUGUUAAUUCUGGUUUAGUUUAGUAAUAAUAUGCAUAUGAGGGGUGGAUAAGUCCAUUCCAUUUGCUUGAAUGCCACUAUGUGCAUGACUUGACUACCCCAUACCAUUAACCCCUUUACAUGCCCCUCUAAGCUUAGACACUUAUGUAUUUUCAUGCCUGUUAAUUUGGUUGAAGUUUCUGGCCAUUACUUCUCUGUGAGUAUAACAUCCAUGAUUUGAUUGAGGGUCUGAAUAUGUAUGUUUGUUGACUAUGGUAUCUGUCUAAUCAUAUGAUUGUUUGUGUUCAAAGAUAUGUGGUUAAAGAGUCUACACUAGUCCAACCUCAGUUAUGCAAUAGAGUGGUUUGUGGCAUGAUUAUGAACAUGAUAGGUGCUUAGUGUAGAGUAUUUCUGUUUAUAGUACCCUGCUUACAUGGCUUGAAUGGUAAUGCUAAGUCACAACUGAUUAACCCCCAUGUCUGUCCAUUUUCCUUUAAAAGAUUUAAGUGACUGAUGGUAUGGUGUCUCCCUAUCCUUUUGUUUUCCCUAUGCCUCUUUUGGUGAAAGUGUUGACUAAAACUAUGCUGGCAUGAGCUUUCAAAGUUUUCUUUUAUGAGACUUAUUCUAUAAUAGAAUAAACACUGCUGGUUUGAAGUUUUGAGCUGUAAAAUGUCCAUGUAUGCUACUGAAUGUUGACAUAAGUCAUGUUAAGGGUUAUGUUAUAUGUGUGAGACUACCACUGUGUGCCAUUACUAUACUAGGAGCCCGUUUGGAUUGGCUUAUAAGUUGGCUUAUAAGCUGUUUUCAGUUUUUUUGAGUGUUUGGCUGGCCAGCUUAAAGUCAUUUUAUGCUUAAAAUAAGCUCAAAAAAAUAAUUGGACCCAUUUGACUUAGUUUAUCUAAAGCAGCUUAUAAGCUGAAAACAGCUUAUAAGCCAAAAAAAAUAAGUUGGACUACCCCAACUUAUUUUUUUCAGCUUAUAAGCUGCAAACAGCUUUAAGCUGUAAGCCAAUCCAAACGGGCUCUAGAGGCAUUUUGAGAUUCCUUUUAAUCAAAUGAAUGAGUUAGAUGUUUGUCAAAUGCAUUGCUACUAUGUGUGUAUCUGGUAUAUUGACUUAGAUCUAAUGUGAUGCUCCUUUGCUCUACUCUCCUUUUUUUUUAUAUGUUGCCACUACACAACAUACAUAUGGUAUAUCAGAUAUAUACAGUCUAUAUAUGCUUCGGUGUAUAUAGGAUGGUAUAUUUUGUAUACCGAUAGGAUAUUAUCAUGACUCGACUUAAGAACAUUGUUGAUUGAACUGUUUGGGCCUGCCUCCUUUAUUUGUUUUCCCUUUAUUACGAAAUCGGGCUUUCACCUUAUGACCAUCUUCAUUUUAUCCACUUUGGGCCUUUCCUCCAGCAUGUUAUCUUAUUUGGGCUCGUUCCUUUGAUUUUUUGGUUUUAAUCGCAAUUGGAUUUUUACUCUGGUCCGUUUAUUUUGCUAAGUGUAUUAAGUAUACUUGAUAUACAUAUACAUUCCCGAAUAUAUGAUCGUGCUUUCCCUUAAGUUUUCUGUUAUUAAUUUACCAAGUCUAGGUGCUUUCUAACAGCAUUUCUCCUUUUCCCCUCUUUGUUUUGCAUGAGAAUCCAUAUGGGCCACUUGGGGCAUUUUCUCGCAUGAAAUCAGUGUUGGGCCAAAGGCCCAACAACACAUAUUCUAUCAAAUCCGCACGAAUGAAGAUGAUUGAAGGCCCAACCAUGGGUGAAAAUGACAACUAGUGAGCUUCGGUAGGCCCACUAGCCUAAACUCUACCUUUUAUAUAUAUGCAUAUGAAAUUGUAUAUAUAUUCGUAUAUGUACGAAUACCAUGUGAUUAUUGAAACCUCACGGUUAGAAUUUAGGAAAUUCGUGUAGAAAAGUUUAGGAUUUUUCUCAAAUGAUUUUCUCAAAGUUGAA